rnacentral:rRNA from 1 species
GUGGCGAACGGGUGAGGAACACGUAAGAAACUUGCCCCAAAGUCGAGGAUAACCAUUGGAAACGAUGGCUAAUACUGGAUAGGAUACGGAAUCGCAUGGUUCUGUAUUUAAAGGUGCUCUAAAGCACCGCUGUGGGAUAGUCUUGCGCUGCAUUAGCUAGUUGGUAGGGUAACGGCCUACCAAGGCAACGAUGCAUAGCUGGUCUGAGAGGAUGAACAGCCACACUGGGACUGAGACACGGCCCAGACUCC